rnacentral:rRNA from 1 species
AGGAGGCAGCAGUAAGGAAUAUUGGUCAAUGGGCGAGAGCCUGAACCAGCCAUCCCGCGUGCAGGAAGAAGGCCCUAUGGGUUGUAAACUGCUUUUGUGCAAGAAGAAAGGUAUCCUCGAGCAGGGUAUUUGACGGUAUUGCGUGAAUAAGCACCGGCUAACUCCGUGCCAGCAGCCGCGGUAAUACGGAGGGUGCAAGCGUUAUCCGGAUUUAUUGGGUUUAAAGGGUGCGUAGGCGGUAUAUUAAGUCAGUGGUGAAAUCCUGCAGCUUAACUGUAGAUGUGCCAUUGAAACUGAUGUACUUGAGUUAUCUUGAGGUAGGCGGAAUGUGUAGUGUAGCGGUGAAAUGCUUAGAUAUUACACAGAACACCGAUUGCGAAGGCAGCUUACUAAGGGUAUACUGACGCUGAGGCACGAAAGCGUGGGGAUCGAACAGGAUUAGAUACCCCGGUAGG